UUCAAAUGAGAACAUUUCUUAUAUUGAGAAUAAUUGAGAACAAUUUUUAGGCUAUCUUUCGGUACACAUCUUUCUUAUAUUUCUCUCCCUACAUAUCUCUAUCAUCUUUGUCUCUCUACAUAUCUCUAUCAUCUUUCUCUCUCUCUCUCUCUCUCUCUCCAUAUCUCUCAAGUAAUCUGAACCACCGUCACCAUUAACGGACCUCCAUCAGAAUGACCAUAAUGACGUCGGAAUCACGGUAAUGACGCCGGAACCACCCCAAUUUUGUCGGAAUCAUCGAGCUACUUCUUCACUCUCUGGAUCUAUUUGGUUUCCCGAUGUCAUUUCCAUAUCUCCAAAUCUGCUUAAUGUCUUCUCCUUCCUUCAGAAUUGACCUUCUCUACCUCUUCACUUAUCGUCAUCUCCCUCGCCUCCCACCAUCAAAAAUCAGACCGACGUCGCUUAACUCUCUUUAGAUUUGUUUUUUCGUCAUCUAUUGUUAGUCGGAGCGUUGCUCGAGAACCUUAUCCCUAACUGCAACUUCGAGAUCGAAAUCAUAGCCUGUGAUAUGAGUCUCCAACUUCGUCGGAGAAAAAAGACUCGCCGGAGGAGGGAGACACCGGAGAGGAACAAGGCAUCGGAAGACUUAGCUGUUGACCUUCGGAUAAUAGCAAAUCAUCGGUCGCGUUUGUUUAAAUUUCUACAAUCAGGUCCCUUCCUAAACUUCUUUUUUUGGCGGUUAAAUCAUAAUUUAAGUUGAGACAAUUAGGUCACACUUAUAAUUGAGAAGCGAGAAUAUGAGUUUAGUUCUAGUGGGCUGCUUUUGAAGAAAUAAAUAUUUAAAAGGUGUAUCAAAUAUAUUAUGGGCUUACAAAAUCCAUCUUUGUAUAUCAUUAUUCCUAUAUCAUUAAAAAAUAAAGACAAACCGUUUAAAUAAAAUAUAAUAUUACUCAAAUUUUAAUAUUCUACUACUGUAGAUAGAAUUUAUAAUUUAAAUAUAUGGGUCACUACUUUAAAUAAUUGGUAAUGCACCAUUUUGACUGAUUAAGAAAUAAAUAAAUUGUAUAAAAGAAGCAAAACUAAUAAAUAAACAUACAAGACGUAUCCCAUAAAUUCCAAAUACAUAAAAUUAUUUAAUCAUAUGAAUCAUAUAUUAAUUAAAAACGUGAUUAAUUUGUUAUUAAAAUGUAUUUGAGGAUUGCUUCUACAAAAAUUUGCUAGCUAGUCACAACAACUGCUUUUAACUAUUUCUCCUAGACUUCUAACGUACUGUCAUUUUCUCUCUUUCUAAUGUGUUGUCAACAACAUGUUGAGUCUUAACUAUUAUCAUUUUUUGUUUGUUUUAAUUAGAGUUACAAUAAAAACCUAUAUCAUUGAUAUGUAAUAUUUUAUUUUACCGUAACGUAAUCUUUGUUUUCAUAUUUAUAUUAGUAUAAUUGUUGUUUUUUUGUUAUGAUAUGAACUUAUAUAAAGUAGAUAGGUAUAAGUUUACUAUUUAAACAUCAAUCAUGAGAGAAACUAUUUAUUGAUAUUCAUAUUUUUAUAGUGAAUUAUUAAUGAAAUCAUUUGUUAAACUUGUUUAAAUUUUUGAAAAUAAAUAAGUCAAAUAAAAUUAUAUACAUUACAGAGGAUAUUAGUUCAUAUGAUUUUUUUUAUAUAAAUGGAAAACAAUGUUUCUACAACAUUUUGUAUCUAUAAAAGAGAUAGCAUAUAAUUUUUUUUUAAAAAUACAUAUAAUCAUAUGUAAUUAAUACAUAUAAUCACAUGUGAUUAAAUACAUGAGACACGUAUUGAAUCGAAAACGGGAAUACAAAUUAAUAUUUGUUAUCGUGUAUUUAAUCACAUAUGAUUAGAUUAUAUGUAUCUAAUCACAUAUGAUUUAGAUGAACAAUAUUCAUUUUGCGUUUUUGAUUCGAUAUUUGUUCUCGUGUAUUUAAUCACAUGUGAUUAUAUGUAUCAAAUUACAUAUGAUUUAUAUGUGCAAGAUUUGUUUUUGCGUUCUUGAUUCAAAAGUUGUUCUUUGUCCAUAUUAAUCAUAUGUGAUUAAAUACAUAUAAUCACACGUGAUUAAAUACAUGAGAAAAUAAUUGAAUCGAAAAAUAGAAAACAAAUAUUACAUAAAUAAUAUGUGAUUCGAUACAUAUAAUCACAAGUGAUUAUAUGUAUUUAAUCACAUAAAUAAUAUGUGAUUCAAUACAUAUAAUCACUUGUGAUUAUAUGUAUCGAAUCACAUAUGAUUAACGUUGACGAAGAACAAUUACUGAAUCGAGAACGCUAUAAUGAAUCUUGUCUACAUAAAUCAUAUGUGAUUCAAUAAUUGUUCUCGUGUAUUUAAAUAUAUAUUAUCACAUAACAAUUACUGAAUCGAGAAUGCGAUAAUGAAUCUUGUCCACAUAAAUCACAUGUGAUUCAAUAGUUGUUCUCGUGUAUUUAAAUAUAUAUAAUCACAUAAAUCAUAUGUGAUUAAAUACAUAUAAUCACAUGUGAUUAUAUGUAUCUAAUCACAUAUGAUUUAUAUGGACAAAAAGAAUUUUGUCCAUAUAAAUCAUAUGUGAUUAGAUACAUAUAAUCAUAUGUGAUUAUAUAGAAGUGAACAACCAUUGAAUCAAAAACGCACAAACAAAUCUUUGUUCACAUUAAUCAUACGUUAUUAAAUACAUAUAUUCGGAUAUGAUUAAAUACAUGAUAAAAAUUAUUGAAUGAAAAACAUAAAAACAAAUAUUUUUUUAUAUAAAUCAUAUGUGAUUAGAUACAUAUAAUGACAUGUGAUUAUAUGGAUUUAAUCACAUGUGAUUUAUGUGAUUAAAUACAUAUAAUUACAUAUGCUUUAUGCCAUUAUAUGCAUUUAAGCACAUAAGGUGUUGGUGGUUGUAGGUAGUGGGUGACAGUCUUGUGGUGGUGCCUGGCGGGUUGUCAUUAUGGUGGAGGUGGGGGUGGUAGGUAGUAGUAAUGGGUGGUGGUGGUUGAUGGUGAAUGAUGGGGGUUGUGGGUAAUAAUUGGUUUGUAGUGAUGGGUGGUGGUUGUGAUGGUAAUAGGUAGUGGGUGGUGGUGGUGAAGGAUGGUGUGUAGGGGUGGGAGUGGUGGCUAUGAUGGGUUGUUGGUGGUGGUAUUGAUGGGUAAGUGAUGGCGGGUGGUGGUGGCAUGUGGUGAUGUCUGGUGUUGGUGGUGGUGGUUGUGGAAGGCGGUGAGUAGUGAUGGUUGUAGGUGGUGAUAAUGUAGGUGGUAAAGAUAGUGUUGGUGGGUGGUGAUAAUGGUGACGGGUGGUGGUGAUGGAUGAUGAUGGUUAGUGGUUAGUGGUGGUGGUGGUGGCGAGUGGUGGUUUAUGUUGGUUUUUAUGGUGAUGGGUGGUGGAGGUGGGUGGUAGGUUGGUGGUGGUGAAAGGUAGUGAUGGUGG
rnacentral:lncRNA from 1 species